AGGGGUUACUGUGUGUCUAAAUCUUUGAUGAAGAGCUGUUCAUAGGUCCCAGCCUGUUUUCAGAGAGACUAGAGGGACUGUGAGAAACUCAGUAAAACAUGCCAAGUAGCCUUAGGUAGUCUGGCUUCCCAGAAGUCUUCUGCUAAAUGCAAGGGUUUCCUGUCCUGUUUACUGACUGUUACACCUGAGGCUGAUUUUGACACAGAUUGUGGAUAUCGCAGGGCCGGCUCUCGCGCUCGCCCCGGGGCGCCGCCGCCCCGCGCCCCCCCCCCCCCCCCCCCCCCCCCCCCCCCCCCCCCCCCCCCCCCCCCCCCCCCCCCCCCCCCCCCCCCCCCCCCCCCCCCCCCCC
rnacentral:lncRNA from 12 species